UGAAAUAAGAAAAGAAAGAAAAAGACUGUCAAACAGGAAAUCAGCUCAAAGAUCAAAGAAAGAAUGUGAAGAGCAAUGUCAAAAGAUAAACACUCUUAAGGAUGGAAAUUCGGUCCUAACACAAACGCUCGCUGAGCUUUCAGAGAAAUGUCUCGAGCUCACCAAUGAAAACGAUUCUAUUGAGGAAGAGCUCGUUAAGGAGUAUGGACCAGAAUCAAUUGCGGAUCUAUUGCACAUGAAGCCUAUUUGAAACUUUUUUUGGUGGAGCCAAGACACAGUUUAAGAUGGGAAGCAUAUCAGAAUGUGUAAUUUUUUUAUUUGAGCUGAACUUGAUUUUUGA